UCUUUGUUGAAAGCUCAGACAACCAGUCACCCGCCCUCACGGCGAUCUAUAAACCGGAAUGCGCAGGACUCUGCUCAGCGUCCUCUCGUCCAAAAGAUUGUUCCCCUUGCCUCCGGCGAGUUCCUCCGGCGAGAUCGGUGGAAGAACCCGUGAGCAACUCCCUCGGAUCCAAGCUUCUUCACCCGUCGGAAUCUUCGACAAAGGGAAGUGGUCUUCCUCCGCGGCCGGCCGAAUCCCGGCGUCGGCGCUGGGUCUCCUCCGGCGAUCGACCUCACGCCGCCGCCGCGCCCUCUCCCCCCCUCUUUUUUU
rnacentral:lncRNA from 1 species